UUAAGGUUAGGCAUUAAUGAAUGGUUAAGGUAAGGGUUAAGGUUAGGCAUUAAUGAAUGGUUAAGGUAUUAACUCUGAAUGGUUAAGGUAAGGGUUAAGAUUUGGUAUAGGCUUAAAACAACAAAAGUUUUAAAUAACUUGCAACCUUUUCAAAUAGAGGCAGAUGCUUACACAACGUCCUAGCAAAACUGAAAGCUAUUUGAAGGUAACAGAGCUCACUGUUGCCCCUGGUGUCCAGUUUCCACGUCAUCUCCCGAUGUCCUCAGACAUGGAUGGACGUUGAAUACUGACUUGUAUCACGGGUGACCUGGCUGUUAAAUCCACCACCUGUUUGUCUGAGCAGAUAAGAGAAUUCAGUGGGAUUCUGUAUAUAACUCCUUUACCAGACCAGGCCUCGGAGAGGGAAGAGGCUACUGGAGUCUAUAGUACAACUGGCUCUAGGAGGAAAUCUAUCUACUAUCUAUUGUUGAACAAAAUGUUGCAGUUUAAUGAUCAUCAUAAUCAUCACACAUCCAUUAUCUUUCAGGGUGAUGGGUAAUAAAAUAUGAAUCAUUUUUCUGUCAAUAAAGUGGUGGUUUAAUUCAAGUCACCGUGGUUUACAAGGUUUCCACUGUUGCCUGGUCUCUAUCAGUUGAGUAACUACAUUUCGGCCACUAGAGACGGAGGUGUCUGUCUGUCAAACAGAAUUCCUGUAUACCAUUAGAGGAGAGGAGAGGACAGGAGAGGAGUAGAGGUGAAACAGGACAGUCAGACCUGGGACGUAAAACCCUGAAGGCAUACUGUGUAGGUACAAUAUUAGUAAGAAAGAGAGAGAGACA
rnacentral:lncRNA from 1 species